rnacentral:rRNA from 1 species
UACGUAGGGGGCAAGCGUUGUCCGGAAUCAUUGGGCGUAAAGAGCGUGUAGGCGGCCCGGUAAGUCUGUUGUGAAAGUCCAGGGCUCAACCCUGGAAUGCCGAUGGAUACUGCCGGGCUAGAGUUCGGAAGAGGCGAGUGGAAUUCCUGGUGUAGCGGUGGAAUGCGCAGAUAUCAGGAGGAACACCGGUGGCGAAGGCGGGUCUCUGGGCAGUAACUGACGCUGAGGAGCGAAAGCGUGGGUAGCGAACAGG